AGUGAACGCUGGCGGUAGGCCUAACACAUGCAAGUCGAACGGCAGCACAGGAGAGCUUGCUCUCUGGGUGGCGAGUGGCGGACGGGUGAGGAAUACAUCGGAAUCUACCUUUUCGUGGGGGAUAACGUAGGGAAACUUACGCUAAUACCGCAUACGACCUACGGGUGAAAGUGGGGGACCGCAAGGCCUCACGCGAUUAGAUGAGCCGAUGUCCGAUUAGCUAGUUGGCGGGGUAAUGGCCCACCAAGGCGACGAUCGGUAGCUGGUCUGAGAGGAUAAUCAGCCACACUGGAACUGAGACACGGUCCAGACUCCUACGGGAGGCAGCAGUGGGGAAUAUUGGACAAUGGGCGCAAGCCUGAUCCAGCCAUACCGCGUGGGUGAAGAAGGCCUUCGGGUUGUAAAGCCCUUUUGUUGGGAAAGAAGUCCUGUCGAUUAAUACUCGGUGGGGAUGACGGUACCCAAAGAAUAAGCACCGGCUAACUUCGUGCCAGCAGCCGCCGUAAUAC
rnacentral:rRNA from 1 species